rnacentral:rRNA from 1 species
GCAUGGUCUUAGCUUGCUAAGACUGAUGGCGACCGGCGCACGGGUGCGUAACGCGUAUGCAACUUGCCUCACAGAGGGGGAUAACCCGUCGAAAGACGGACUAAUACCGCGUACACUCUAUGUUGGGCAUCCAAUGUAGAGGAAAUGAAAUUCGCUGUGAGAUAGGCAUGCGUCCCAUUAGCUAGUUGGUGAGGUAACGGCUCACCAAGGCGACGAUGGGUAGGGGAACUGAGAGGUUGAACCCCCACACUGGUACUGAGACACGGACCAGACUCCUACGGGAGGCAGCAGUGAGGAAUAUUGGUCAAUGGGCGAGAGCCUGAACCAGCCAAGUCGCGUGAAGGAUGACUGUCUUAUGGAUUGUAAACUUCUUUUAUACGGGAAUAACAAGAGUCACGUGUGACUCCCUGCAUGUACCGUAUGAAUAAGCAUCGGCUAACUCCGUGCCAGCAGCCGCGGUAAUACGGAGGAUGCGAGCGUUAUCCGGAUUUAUUGGGUUUAAAGGGUGCGUAGGCGGCCUGUUAAGUCAGCGGUGAAAUCUAGGAGCUUAACUCCUAAAUUGCCAUUGAUACUGGCGGGCUUGAGUGUAGAUGAGGUAGGCGGAAUGCGUGGUGUAGCGGUGGAAUGCAUAGAUAUCACGCAGAACUCCGAUUGCGAAGGCAGCUUACUAAGGUACAACUGACGCUGAAGCACGAAAGCGUGGGUAUCAAACAGGAUUAGAUACCCUGGUAGUCCACGCAGUAAACGAUGAUAACUGGGCGUAUGCGAUAUACAGUAUGCUCCUAAGCGAAAGCGUUAAGUUAUC